rnacentral:tRNA from 2 species
UAAUGUUCUUAUAGUUGAAAUACAACGAUGA